rnacentral:rRNA from 1 species
CCUACGGGAGGCAGCAGUGGGGAAUAUUGCACAAUGGAGGAAACUCUGAUGCAGCGACGCCGCGUGAACGAUGAAGGCCUUCGGGUUGUAAAGUUCUGUCCUAGGGGACGAUAAUGACGGUACCCUAGGAGGAAGCCCCGGCUAACUACGUGCCAGCAGCCGCGGUAAU